rnacentral:rRNA from 1 species
UACGUAGGGUGCGAGCGUUAAUCGGAAUUACUGGGCGUAAAGCGUGCGCAGGCGGUUUUGUAAGCCAGAUGUGAAAUCCCCGGGCUUAACCUGGGAACUGCAUUUGGGACCGCAAGGCUUGAGUACGGCAGAGGGGGGUAGAAUUCCUGGUGUAGCAGUGAAAUGCGUAGAUAUCAGGAGGAAUACCGAUGGCGAAGGCAGCCCCCUGGGUCGAUACUGACGCUCAUGCACGAAAGCGUGGGGAGCAAACAGG